GUCCACGCCGUAACGAUGAAUGCUAGCUGUUAUAGGUAUCGACCCUGUAGUAGCGAAGCUAACGCGUUAAGCAUUCCGCCUGUGGAGUACGGUCGCAAGACUAAACAUAAAGGAAUUGACGGGACCCGCACAAGCGGUGGAGCGUGUUGUUAAUUCGAUGGUAACGAAGAACCUUACCCAGGUUUGACAUCCUUAGAAUUUUGUCGAAAGACGAGAGUGCUUUAUUGAACUAAGUGACAGGUGUUGCAUGGCCGUCGU
rnacentral:rRNA from 1 species